UAACGCUCACGUGUUGUUGUAGAUGCGCAAUUAAAAACAAAUGAUUUUUUAGUAUUUUUUUUUAUUAACAAUAGACAUUAAUUGUCAAUUAAAAAUGGAUGAAAAAAAAGAUGACAUUAAAUCAGACAGUGUCCCAGAAUGUUCCAAGACUGCAGUCUUGAUGCCAAGCACUUCUUUGCCCAUUAAUACACCGUUAAUUCAAGGAUAUGAUUUUAAUCAAGGAAUUGAUUAUCAUGCUUUACUUACCAGUUAUAAAAAUGCUGGUUUUCAAGCGACAAAUUUUGGCUUGGCAGUUGAUGAGAUUCAGAAAAUGAUUGAUGCUAGAAAAGUUCCAUUGGGUGAUGAUCAAAAUGAUGAUUUUGAGGAGGAUGAAUUUAUUAAAAGGAGAAAUUCAUGUACAAUAUUCUUAGGAUACACAUCAAAUAUGGCAUCAUGUGGGGUUAGAGAGUCUAUUCGAUUUUUAGUCCAGCACAAAAUGGUUGAUUGUAUAGUAACGACUGCUGGUGGUGUUGAGGAAGAUUUAAUCAAAUGUCUGGCUCCUACUUAUCUAGGAAAAUUUGAAUUGGAUGGUAAAACACUAAGAAAUCAAGGAAUUAAUAGAAUAGGCAAUCUUUUGGUGCCGAAUAAUAAUUAUUGUUUAUUCGAAGACUGGUUGAUGCCUAAGCUUGAUGAAAUGCUUGAAGAACAGAAAGCUAAGGGAGUAAUUUGGACUCCAUCAAAAGUCAUUGCUAAAUUAGGUAAAGCUAUCAACAAUCCUGAUUCAAUUUAUUAUUGGGCUGCAAAAAAUAAAAUUCCAGUUUUUAGUCCAGCAUUGACUGAUGGCAGCUUGGGUGAUAUGAUGUACUUUCAUUCUUUUAGAAAUCCUGGAUUAAUUAUUGAUAUCCUAUCAGACUUGAGAAGAUUAAAUACCAUAGCUGUUAAGGCUGUUAAAACUGGUAUGAUUAUAAUUGGUGGUGGUGUUAUCAAGCAUCAUAUUUGCAAUGCCAAUUUAAUGAGAAAUGGUGCUGACUUUGCAGUAUUUUUAAACACAUCAUCUGAGUUUGAUGGCAGUGAUAGUGGAGCUAGACCUGAUGAAGCCAUUUCUUGGGGUAAAAUUCGUACUGAUGCCACUCCAGUCAAAAUUUAUGCUGAAGCUUCUCUCAUAUUUCCUCUCUUAAUCGGUGAAACAUUUGCUCGAGAUUUCCAUAAAUCCAAGAAUCCACUUGGAAAGAAGAAUGAUUAAUUGAAUCUAAAGGACUAAUUGAUCUAAUCUAAAACAAAAGUGAUGUUGGUUUUUAUUAAUCAAACCUUACCUUUCUUAUCCUUUCUGGGAUAUGUUAAAAAUUUGAAAUAAUUAAAAUAAAUUGGAAAUAAUGUG
rnacentral:misc_RNA from 1 species